GACUCUCGGCAACGGAUAUCUCGGCUCUCGCAUCGAUGAAGAACGUAGCGAAAUGCGAUACUUGGUGUGAAUUGCAGAAUCCCGUGAACCAUCGAAUCUUUAAACGCAAGUUGCGCCCGAAGCCUUUAGGUCGAGGGCACGUCUGCCUGGGCGUCA
rnacentral:rRNA from 1 species